rnacentral:rRNA from 1 species
UACGGAGGGUGCGAGCGUUGUCCGGAAUCACUGGGCGUAAAGGGCGCGUAGGCGGGUGCUCAAGUCCGGGGUGAAAUCCUCCAGCUCAACUGGAGAACUGCCUCGGAUACUGGGUGCCUCGAGUGUGGUAGGGGUGUGCGGAACUUCCGGUGGAGCGGUGAAAUGCGUAGAUAUCGGAAGGAACACCGGUGGCGAAAGCGGCGCGCUGGACCUCUUCUGACGCUGAGGCGCGAAAGCCAGGGGAGCAAACGGG